CAGUAGCUCAGUGGUAGAGCUAUCGGCUGUUAACCGAUCGGUCGUAGGUUCGAAUCCUACCUG
rnacentral:tRNA from 9 species